GACGAAUGCUGGCGGCGUGCUUAACACAUGCAAGUCGAACGGAAAGGCCCUGCUUUUGUGGGGUGCUCGAGUGGCGAACGGGUGAGUAACACGUGAGUAACCUGCCCUUGACUUUGGGAUAACUUCAGGAAACUGGGGCUAAUACCGGAUAGGAGCUCCUGCUGCAUGGCGGGGGUUGGAAAGUUUCGGCGGUUGGGGAUGGACUCGCGGCUUAUCAGCUUGUUGGUGGGGUAGUGGCUUACCAAGGCUUUGACGGGUAGCCGGCCUGAGAGGGUGACCGGCCACAUUGGGACUGAGAUACGGCCCAGACUCCUACGGGAGGCAGCAGUGGGGAAUAUUGCACAAUGGGCGGAAGCCUGAUGCAGCAACGCCGCGUGCGGGAUGACGGCCUUCGGGUUGUAAACCGCUUUCGCCUGUGACGAAGCGUGAGUGACGGUAAUGGGUAAAGAAGCACCGGCUAACUACGUG
rnacentral:rRNA from 1 species